rnacentral:rRNA from 1 species
GACAGAGGUCCCAAGCGUUAGGCGGAAUCACUGGGCUUAAAGCGUGUGUAGGCGGACUUCUAAGUACCUUGUGAAAUCCCACGGCUCAACCGUGGAACUGCUUGGUAUACUGGUUGUCUUGGGCCAUCUAGGGGCUAGCGGAACAAACGGUGGAGCGGUGAAAUGCGUAGAUAUCGUUUGGAACGCCAAUGGUGAAAACAGCUAGCUGGGGAUGUGCCGACGCUGAGACACGAAAGCCAGGGAGCGAACGGG